UACGUAGGUGACAAGCGUUGUCCGGAUUUACUGGGCGUAAAGAGCGCGCAGGCGGUCGUUCAAGUCGAGUGUGAAAGCCCCCGGCUCAACUGGGGAGGGUCAUCGAUACUGAUCGACUCGAAGGCAGGAGAGGGUAGUGGAAUUCCCGGUGUAGUGGUGAAAUGCGUAGAUAUCGGGAGGAACACCAGUGGCGAAGGCGACUACCUGGCCUGUUCUUGACGCUGAGGCGCGAAAGCUAGGGGAGCAACGGG
rnacentral:rRNA from 1 species